CCUACGUGAGGCAGCAGUAGGGAAUCUUCCACAAUGGGCGAAAGCCUGAUGGAGCAACGCCGCGUGGGUGAAGAAGGUCUUCGGAUCGUAAAACCCUGUUGUUAGAGAAGAAAGUGCGUGAGAGUAACUGUUCACGUUUCGACGGUAUCUAACCAGAAAGCCACGGCUAACUACGUGCCAGCAGCCGCGGUAAUACGUAGGUGGCAAGCGUUAUCCGGAUUUAUUGGGCGUAAAGGGAACGCCGGCGGUCUUUUAAGUCUGAUGUGAAAGCCUUCGGCUUAACCGGAGUAGUGCAUUGGAAACUGGGAGACUUGAGUGCAGAAGAGGAGAGUGGAACUCCAUGUGUAGCGGUGAAAUGCGUAGAUAUAUGGAAGAACACCAGUGGCGAAAGCGGCUCUCUGGUCUGUAACUGACGCUGAGGUUCGAAAGCGUGGGUAGCAAACAGGAUUAGAUACCCGGGUAGUC
rnacentral:rRNA from 1 species